AGCAAAUAACAUGUUUAUCUCCUUGGAGUAAGCUGGAGUGUCUUGCGCAAGGUAGAAAUGAUGAUAGUUAGCUCAUGGAUCACCCCUUGAAGAGUCUGAACCUUUUAUACGAGCACUAAGCAACAUGCUUUUAUUGCAUGCAUGCAGGAAAAUGGAGCAAAGGUUUAUUGCUGCACAACAUUCCCAGCACUGGGAUUAGGAUGGACAAAGCUCUGUGGUUACAACAUCUGGGGAACAAUGCAUGACAAAGCACUUCUCUGUCUAACUCCCAACGGACGCUAAACACCCUGUAAACAGGAAUGUCAGAAUGUGGGCUGUUCUUUUAAUUAUGUAUUAUUCACAUAAAUAUCAUAACUUCACCUGACAUAUUACUUUUUCUACACAAACAAUUUUUUUUUUAAAUAUCUGAAUAAUUAAUUUAAUCUGAGGCUAAAUAAUUUUAGUGGAAUUCUAGUAAGAGACUAAUAAGCAACUCUUUUUUUAGUCUUUUUCUUGAAAGAAAAAAAAUAUGAACCAUCAAGUAGCUAAAAUAACAUGCACAGUAGUGACUUCUUAAUUGCAUUUACCUUAAUAAACUUAUUAUUGAACGAGGAAGUGCAAGCAUAACCAGUGAUUUGAUAAUCAUAAUUACACAUGUACAGAACGUGCUAUAGCAACACGUUAACCGAUUGAUAUGCUGUUGCUUUGGAUUAAUAUUAAUGAAAAACUAGCUUAAUUCUGCAAAAACGUCAUGAUUAAAAACACCAGACAUGAAGCACACUCACCUCAAUAAGUAGCAAAGUAAGUAGACGUCACUCCCACGGAUCGUUGGCUAAACGUAUGAUGCAUAUCAUAGACAUCAUAUGAUCAUAUGAAAAGUGGAAACACUUCAGGAGUGUCGAAGUCGUCAUCGGAUUGGUUGAAUUCUACAGGAUUUCCGAGAGACGUGUGUUUCGCGUUUUUAUACAGUAUACGUUUCUUUAACGUUCUGUCCGGAAACAAAGAUACCGUUGUGCCAAACCCCCUCAAGAAAGAAGAAAGCCGUAGUAUUUACAGCUGUGACGACGAACGCUUAUCAGGAUCAACUAAACACUGGAGUUUCAAAUAUGUGAAGCACGAGACGUUUUGCCUGUUACAGUUGACUAGAGCAGCGCACGCUGGGUUUUCUGAGGUUACCUUAAAGAACGAUGACAGCGCUGAAAAAAAUCUCCCUGCUCAGCAUGGCCUACUCACAAAAUACGAUAUCCAUGGUUGUAGCUUAUAGAGAGAGAUUUAUUCUGCAUCCAUGUCUGAACAUUUACCACAGUGGCUGUACAUCCUCACACGAUUUUUGUCCGCCUGAGGAACCCAAGUUGCUAUUUUAAACAUGACCGUUUAAGGGGAUAAACUACUGGUAGGUCAUCCUAAGCAGGUAGGCCAGAUUUCCUGUAAACAAUAAAUUGCAUCUAUCAACCA
ensembl:lncRNA